rnacentral:lncRNA from 1 species
UAUUAUUUUGCAGUACUGAGGAGUGAUCCAGUGGUGCUGUGUCACUAAGGUAAAUACCCAGACCUUUUUAUUUUUAUUUUCAGACAGGAUCUCACUAAGUUGCCCAGGCUAGCCUUAAACUUGGAGUCCUCCUGGCUCAGCCUCUUGAGUAGCUGGGAUUGCAGGUUUGUAUGCUAGGCAAUGUGGUCCAUUUUAGAACACAAUACUCCAACUAAAACUUCAAAGGGAAUUUCCCAGAAUAUGAGAGGAAUUUCAAUUAGACAUUCAUGAUCCUAAAUCUUUCAGCUGUGUCUUUGUAGGCUUCUCUCUAUUCCCACUGGGGAUUAGGCUUAGAGAGAAGCAGUUGACCAUGGAUUUUCUGACUUUCCCCUUCCAGCUAGAAUCAUCUUGGAAUUAAACAGAUAUAGAAGUUAUAAAGUACUCUGCAUUAUGCCAAGUGAAAAACUUAGUAGACAUAGAGAUUUUGGAGAAUUUACUGGACAUAAAGGAUCUCCUCUGUUAUAUCAUUCAUCAUCUAUUUAUGUAUACAUUAUAUAGAAGUAUAUUAGGUACUAUAUUAGUUUACUAGAACUGUCAUAAUAAAUGAUCACAAAUGGAGAGAUUCAAAAUAGAAAUUUAUCCUCUUACAAUUCUAGAGGCUGAAAAUUUGAAAUCAAGGUGUCAGCAGGGUUGGUUUCUUCUGGGAGCUGUAAGACAGAAACUGUUUCAUGUAUUCCUUCCUAUCUUCUAUUGCUUCUGCAGUCUUUGGCAUUCCUUGGUUUGCAGAUACAUCACUCCAGUCUCUGCCUCUACCAUUACAUGGCCUCCUUUCCUUUGUGUGUCUGUGUCUCUGUGUGUCUAAACCUCUGUCCCCUAAUAAGGACAACAGUCAUUGGAUUUAGGGCUCACCCUAAUCCAGUAAUUAAUUAAUUAAUUAAUUUUAUUACAUCUGCAAAAGACUUAUUUCUAAUAUGGCUACAUUUAUAGGUACCAGGAAUCAGAAGUUAAUAUUAUCUUUUAGGGGGACACAAUUGAUCCCACAACUUGUUUCCUUAUACCAGACACAUUCCUAGAUGUGCGGGACAGAAAGAAUAACAGCAUGAAGUUCUUACAUUCAAAAACAUUAUUCAAAUUGAACAGACUUCAAUAUAUGCUUAUAGUAUCAUAAAUAAAAUACUCUAAUAUAUCUCAAUAAAAUGUCAUAGAAAUAGAGAAAACGGUGACUGACAUUGUCUAAGGUAAUCACAAAAGCUUCACUCUGGUGAUUUCUUCGAGUUGUGAGGUGUAUUCGUUAUCAUGACUAUGACCAGAAUAAUUGACAAGAACAUCUUAGAGGAGGAAAAGUUUACUUAGGGAUGAUAGUUUCAGAGGUCUCAGUCCAUGAUCAGCAGAAUUCAUUACUCUGGGCCCAAAAUGAGGCAACACAUCAGGGGGGAAGAGCAUAAUAGAAGAAAUCUGCUCAGCUCAUAGUUGGUUCAGAGAGAGAGAGAGAGAGAGAGAGAGAGAGAAGCUAGGAACAAGGUAUAAUCCCAAAAGGCAUGUCCCCAGUGACUCCUUCCUCCAACCACACCUCACCUGUCCACACUUACCACCCAGUAAACCAUUCAAAUUAUUAAUUCAUCAAAUGGAUUAAUCUAUCGAUGAGGUUACAAUUCUCAUAACCUAAUCAUGUCCCCUCUCAACAUUGCUCUAUUGGAUAUCAUGUUUUCUAUACAUGAGCUUUUAGGGGGACACAUUGUGUCCAAAUAAUAACAUGAGGUAAAAUAUGUUGGAGUUCAUGGAUGAAUCCAUGAUUGUGAGUGUGCAAAGGCCAUUCUAGAGAAAAGCAACAAUGUUUAUGACAACAUGUAUUAUGAAAAGACAUUGUCUCUCUCAAGAAAGGCAAGGAGUUUAUGUAACUAGAUUCAACUUAAUAACAGGUGUAGCAGAACACAUAGGUGGAAUAUCUAGGAGAGAAUAAAUAGCAGGUGGAAUAUGAUAGAGGACCUUGUAUUUUAUGUCAAAGAGUUGGGGCUUGGGGCUAGGUUUGUGGCUCCGUAGUAGAGUGCUUUUCUAGCACAUGCCAAGGCUGUGGGUUCAAUCCUCAGCACCACAGAAAUAUAAACAAAUAAAAUAAAGGUAUUGUGUCUGACUAUACCUAAAAAAAUAAAUAUUAAAAAAAAGAUUUGGGGCUUUAUAAUAUAUAAUAGAAUGUCUCUAUCAAUACUCUCUUGUAUGUUUUUAAUCCUUUAUAUAACAAUGCAUUUAAGUCAUAUAAAACGAAGUAAAACAGUAGUUAAUAAUUAAUGUUGCAAAUCUGGAAAGGCCAUUUUGAUUUUGUGAAAAUUAUUUGAAUUACUGACUAUUUUAAGGGAAUGACUUUUUAUUUAUCUGUAGUAUGCAUGGGAGCACAAACCAAGGUAACAAGAUUCAGUCAUUCCAACCAUUGCCGGAUAGAGGUCCUUAAGGAGCCAGUGUUAAUGAACAAAUAUGGCUAAAUUUUAAUUAGCAUAUCAAUUGUUUAUAUGUAAAUUGAUGCUUAUAAAAUACUUGAGGGGAUAUGAAAAGUUUGUUCUCUUAAGCAUUUUAAAUAUUCUCUGUAUAGUCUUAUUUAUACUAUUAAUCUUAGAUUACCUUUGGGGAAGGGCUUUGCUAAACAAAGGGAAACAUCAACACUAGUCCCUAGGCAACUAUAAUGAAUUCUAAAUUAGUCAUUUUUUAAAAUUUAUUCAAUGAGUAUGUGUUACUUAACACCUGUGAAACAGAUCCUGUCUUAAGGAGCAGGGAUCCAAAGGUACUAUAGAGCAUAUCCUUGUCCUCAUAAAAGUCAUAGUCUAAUUGGGGAUUCCAAGGAGAAAACAAAUAAAACACUCCAUUAAAAUGUGUUUAGUUAGAUGAUGGUGUAUUCAGGGCUGUUGGGUGAACAUAGUGUAAGGAAGACCCAACUCUUUGGUGGGGAAGGAAAGAAGCCUGCCAGGGGAGACUUUAUAUUUAGGUUGAACUUUGAAGGAUAAAAACUGAUUCUCUUAAGGAAGAAAGAAGCUGGACACUGUAAACAGUACCUUGACAUUGGAAAUAGCUCUUUAAAAAGUGGUUUGAGCUGGGAACAGGGUGCACACCUGUAUUGUAGCAACUCUAGAGGCUGAGGCAGGAAGAUCACAACUUCAAUGCCAGUCUCAACAACUUAGCAAAACCCUGUCUCAAAAAAUUAGAAGCUGGAUAUGUGACUCAGUGAUAGAGCACCCCUGUGUUUAAUCCCUAGCACCAAAAAUAAACAAAUAUUAAAUUAAAAGUGGGAGAAAUGAUGACUAUUCCAAGGGCCCAGAAAUACAAGCAAGUGUAAGUGUGUGACUUAAGGUUAAAAUGGGAAGGGACACGGUAGGAGAUAAAACUGGGGAGUUGGGCAACAGCUAAGAAGGGUUCUGACACAAAGGAGUUAGGUAGGAUCCAUUGACAUAUUUUAAGCACAAAGGGGCCAUGGUCAAAUUUGGGUUUAAAAAGUGAUCUCUAGUAACAAUUUGAAGGAAGAUAUUAGAGCAGUGGUUUCCAAGCACUGCUUUUGUAAUGCAGAAAAAUCUUUUCCAAAGAAAACCUGUUAUCAAACCAAGAAAGAGAAAAGACAAGAGUGAUAUUUCAUUAGAAUAAAUGCAUAUGUUCAAGUGUAUAACAUUUAUAUAGUAUGAGGUUAAUGAAAACAGGCUGCUUGUAACUCAAAAGUGAGGUUAUAUUUGGGGUUAUAUAUAGACCUCCUAUGUUACAUUAGACUUAGCAUCACAAUUAUAUGUAAACUUAUUACUAUACCGCAUUGAUACAAUUGUGAUUUUGCAGUGAUAAGUUGUUGUAAAUAACAACAGUUUAUACAGUUCCCCUUGCCAUGUCAGGGAGCUCAUCUCUUAAGUUGAUGUAGAAAAACAACAGUGGACUAAUAAUGGGAAAAAAAAUCCCUAACAAGAAUCACCACAACUCAUGUUCUUAACCAUAAAUAUAGACAUCUAAAAUCUUAAAAAUGCUAAAAGCAUCCAUACCAUAGUAUUAUAUUUCAACCUUAUGUAAUCACUUUUUGGGAAUACAUGCAUGGUAGAUGUGGUAAAUAUUUAUUGAAUUGAACUGAUCAACAACAAAGUAAAGGGCUGGGGUUGUGGCUCCAUGGUAGAGUGCUUGCCUCAGCACCACAUAAAAAUAAAGGUCCAUCAACACUAAAAAAAAAAAAAAAUUAAAAAGAGCAAAGAAAAGAUUUCACAAACAAUUCAUAAACAAUGUAAAACCAUUAAGGUUUAAAGUCAAAAGUAGCUCUAUUCUACAGCAAGACAGAUACUCAUGAGCAUUUGUCCUCCAGUCCAACUGGUAACCCUGAUUUAUAUAAUCUUGACCUACAAGAAAAUUGUGAUAGAUAUCACUUCAUAGAAAAGGAUAUCAUACUUUAAGAAGAAACAUAAAUCUGUGUGGGAUUAGAGAGGGAAUAUUCCUCUCUAGUUCCAUUACAAACUCUUGUUCAGAAGGGUUCCAAACAAAUCUUACCUGCUUCUCCAGACCUAGAUUAGAUUUCAUCUUCUCUGUGACACCUUAUCUCCGAACUUCCUGAGGGUCACCCAUAUGCCAAUAAUAGCACUAACAUGCCACAGAUACAUUAAAAGAGAGUUCCUAUAGUUUUUCAUCUAAAUUCCUAGUGUCUGUUUCCACUCAUUUGCUAUUUAAUCACCUUUAUGUCUCUAUGUUUGAGACUGAAAGGUAUAUAAGAAAAAGUUAUCUAUAAGUUUAAUUUAGCAUACUUCUAUUGACCACAGGCUGUGUGUAGGCCUUAUGUUAAAGGUUAAGAGAUUAAAAAAGAAAAAAAAAAGAUUAGAACAUGAGUCCUAAAGUAGCUUGUACUCCAACCUGUAUAAACCUCAGAGGGCUACUACCAUAUGAUCAUGAAUAGCCAGCUUCCUGUAAAGGUGAAUACUUUAAUACACUGACCAGACUAAAAAUGAAAUUUGAAUGUAUAUUCUCUUUUCCAAAUAUGUCAUUUUAGAUUUCACUUUCUUCUUCAGACCUUAACGGUGCUCUUUGAGAAACCCUUAGGCCCAAGUCCAAUUAUACCUUGUAUCCUAGAAUGGACCAUUACAACAACAAAAAUUGUAUUAUGCUAACCAUUACAAAGUUCUUCAUAUUAUGAAUGUACACAACUGAUUUUCACUGAUUUUAUUUGGGGUUAUAGAUCAGACCUCCUAUGUUACAUUAGACUUAGCAUCAAUGACACAUAUAUUGCCACAUAUAUCAAUAUUCCCUAUAAUUAUUUGAAGCAUCUGAUCAGGAAUAUUUUUAAUUUUCUGUUCCUGGGAGUAUUUUGUUGUUAUUAGGCUGUUUUUUCCUCUUUCUUUAGUGCUCAUCAUUGUAUACCUCUCAUAUUUUAUAAUGUGUGUCAUCUGAUGUCUAUCAUUGACUUAGAUCAAUUCCUUUCCCAGAUUUUUGUACUGUUGUGAUGCAUGCAUCUGUUUUUCUUUAAAAGGAAAAAAAAUCAACAAUUGAAUUUCCAUUGAUAGAUAUACCCAUAGGAGCGCUCUUAAUGGAUGCACAGAGAUAAUUUUUAUUCUCUGAAAGUCUGAAUUAUCUUCCCCUCUAGUGCCUCUUAAAUGCAACUCAACAACAGUAGUCUAGUGACUGUUGGACAAUGACUGCUUCUAGGCUGUGUUUUUAAUUGUUGGCUUUUUAAAGUAAUUACUUUUCAAAAAGGAAUGAGGAUGGUUAAAAAUAUCUAUUUUGACACUUCUUGAAAUGUGUUAGUUGACUUUAUCUGUCUUAUGUUACCUUACACCUGUUCAGCAUCACUAAUCAGAAUGCUAAAAGACUUUUUAUUUUCCUAGGCAUUAAACUUAGGCUGCUUUGACCUUUGAGGACCAAGCAAGCCUUUACCCAGCACCCUGUUGUAUCCUUAGUACUGAAUUCAUGAAUCAUUGUCCAUCUUGAGCAUCUGCCUUGCUUUAGAGGUACUCUGACAUUUGCUAAGACUUCCCAUUGGACCUUGCAGACAUUUCCAGAUCAUGACACUGUCAGUUGAUAUCUUGGUUUUAAACAUCAUGAGCGUGACUUGUAAUGAAGAACCUGACUAAAAAGAAAAUGGUAAAAUAAAAACAACAAGGCUAUUUCCUUUAUGUUUAUUGUUAAGAUGAUAUGGAAAUUUUUUUACUAUGCAUGUAGUCAUAAACAUUUAUUUUUCAAAACGCCAUAGUAUACAAUAGAGAGCCAAGAAUAGAAAAAAUAGAAACUAGCCUAUUUGAAAGAGGGUCUAUCUUUAGUUAGGCCUUGUAGUUAGCAAAACCAAUUAUAGAAAAACUUUUUUUUCAAAAAAGAAAAACUUUAUAAUUACCUAGUAAGCUGUUGUAUAAACUAACAUAAUUUUACAAGAUGGUAUUUGAUCCUCACAAUAAAUGAGAGAACAUAUUAAGAUAGGGUUACUCUUCAUUUUGCAGAUGAGGAGACUGAGGAUCAGAAAGGCCAGGUGACAUUCAGUUUCCUGGAUUAAAUGAGGCUAAAAGGGAAUUUGAGUUUAAGGCUCCUAUGUCCAAAUUUACUGCUCUUUCUAAUAUAUCAUGCUGCUUCUAAUUAUAACAUGGUGGCUCAGCCUAACAUUUAGGAUUUUAAUUGAGGAAACUGUUCAAGGUAGAACUUAAAGCUAAGGAAGAAGCCAGGUGCAGUAGUAUACACCUAUAAUCCCAGCAACUCAGGAGGCUGAGACAGGAGGAUUGCAAGUUCAAAGCCAGCCUCAGCAAUUUAGCAAGGUCCUAAGCAACUUAGCAAGACCCUUCUCAAAAUAAAUAAAUAAAUAGGGCUAGGGAUGUCGUUCAGUGGCUAAGCACCCCCUGGGUUCAACCCCAAGUACCAAAAAACAAAUAAGUAGAGAUUAAGGCACCUCUCUAGUUGUGCAAUUUGUGUUUGUGUAGGCUGUAAAUGAGAGGAAUUACAAGGUUAUUCUUGGUUGUUCUAACAACAUACCACUUUGGGUCCAAAUUCACAGACACACCCCUGCAAUAAGUAUAGAUGAAUUAUACAAAUUAACUUUGUAUUCAGCAAAACAAAACAACCCCCCUUUAGAAUUAUAUUUCCUUCAUGUAGUAAAAUAGCUGCAAUAGAACUUAACAAUUGUAUCAUUAUUUCUGUUAAAAUGUCCACAGGAAAAUUCUAAUUCUAAUUGAUUUUUUAAAUUCAAAAGCAGCCCUCACAUAAUUGAGGCAUAUCUGAGAAGGGUAGAAGUCUAUUUUAUUUAUCUUACAAUCUGAAAAGGCAGUAUUAUAAAAAUUAAUAAGGCUUCCCAGAGUAGGAAAUAAAAAUUUUUAAAAUGAAGUAAUGAUAAACAUUAAGCUCUUUAAAUAUGUAAGAGGCAUAUAGAAUUACAAAGCAUUCUAAGGGGGGGGAGGACCAAUUGGAAGGAUUGAGGACAAUGAAAGUAGAUGCAUUUUAAGGUAUUUGGCAGAUUAAUCCUUCAGUUUUAUGCCUUAAGAGAUGGGCAAGGCCAGUAGCAUGUCUAAUUCCAGGCUUAUAUUGUGAUCUACUUUUUAUUAUCCCUAGGAGGAAGGGUGCAUGUUUUUAAAAAAGAAAAAAAAAAAAAACUUAUCACUGUGUGGAGCACACUCUCUCUUUUUUUAAUUGAAGGGUAAUUUUAAACUUAAAUUUCUCCUCCAGUUUCAAACAUUAUCACAUUAAUUACUUCGAGGAAGUAGUUUAUCCUUUCAGAAAGUUAAAGAAAAAUGAAGUAAGUUUCCAGUUGACACUCAGCUAUUCUGAGUUCACUGAAAGUGAAAUGCCAAGCUGCCAGGGACCCACUGCAAGAAGCUCUUAUGAGGCUCCUGAGGGGGGUGAGAAGUGGCAGAAUAGCUUCAGUGUAGAUGCAGUAAUGCAUUUAGGGAAAAAUGAAAAUAAGAGAGGCCAGCCUGCAUUCACAUGCUGGCAGACUCUGACUUCUCAGUUUCAUUCUUGAAAGGAAUCUAGGAGUGACUGGUAAUCAUUUCAUGAAAAAAAAUAGUUCAGGAAGGUGCUGUAGCCACAGUGUUCAACAUUCUGCUGGUCAGCAUUAGGAAAGAGAUUGGCAUUCAAACAAUAGACAGUUUACCUCCUUAGUACAAAUUAGGAUCCUCCAGAAUGGAGCUGGAGAAAAUAUUGCCAGUAAUUCUGGUUACUGCUCCUUUUGAAAAAGAGGCUGCUGCUAUAUCAGGCUAGAGAAGGUCAUUUCUAAUAAACUAGGAACUGGUGAAGAUUCCCUGUUACAAAGGCUAAAACAAUUAGGGCUCUUCUUUUGGAAAACAUAAUGGUCAAGUGAGGUUAUGUUCAGAGCUCAUGAAAUCACAAAAGGCUUGAAUAGGAUGGAUGCAAACCUGUUUAUCAAACUUAAGCACAUUGGAAAUAAGGUGUAGCUUGGUCCAUUUCAGCUACUAUGGCAAAAUACUUUGGAUUGAAUAAUUUAUAAACAAUAGUAAUUUAUUGUGCACAGUUCUGGAAGCUGGGAAGUCCAUGGUUAAGGCACAUGUUUGGUGAGGACUUGUUCUGAUUCCAAGAUGGCACCUCUUGCUGCACUUUCACAUGAUGGAAGGGAUAAACACUAGUAUCUUCUCAUGACAGGAGUAGAAAGCCUGGGCAUUACACUGAAGAUUCUUUUGUAAGGGCAGUAAUCCCAUUCAUAAGGAUUGAGCCCUCAUUACUUCCCCCAAAGGCCCUACCUCUUAAUACCACCACAAUGGGAAUUAAGUUUCAGUAUUAAUUUUGAAAGGACAGAAAUAUUCAAACCAUAGUAAGGAGUAUCCCUGAACCAUCAUUGAUGUCAAUGACCGGGAAAGGGGAGUACUAUACAUGAGUUAGGGAAUAACUUACCCCAGAAGUAAGAACUAGAAUGUUUUAAAAAGCAAAAUGAUUCAAGUCAAUUCAUGCACAGUAGACACAAGGAUUUUGUCAGAGAACAAAGGAAGAUGAACCAUUCCUUUCUACAAAGCAACCUUAGUGACUCCCAUCAGAAAUAGAAUUUUGAGGCUAAAUAGAUCAUGAGUAUGAUAUUCUUCAUGUUUUCAAUUUAAAGGUGUAUUAAAAAUUUGCUAAAAGAGUGAAUAUCAAAGUUGAUGGCACAUUUAUGGAUUACAGAGAUUCUUGUUCUUGUCUUAUAUUUGAGUUCACCUUUGUUUUACAAGUACAAGCCUGUCAAAUUCAGAUCUAGAAAACCAGUCUCAGUGCUUGUGGAGGCCAUAUGCUGUGGUGGUUCAGGUUAUGGACUUUGAAACCCCACAGAUGUUCACUACUUACUAACUGCAUGAUCUUGGGCAAGCUCUUUAAUUUCUUGGAGGUUUCUCAUUUGUAAAAUGGUUUCAUAAAUACCUAUCCAUUAGGAUUAUUUGAAGAAUUAUUUACAUGAUACAUGCAAGUCAUUUCACAUGGUACAUGGCAUCUAGUAAAUGAUGAAGGAAUAGCAGAUCCUACUAUUGUGAGCUAAGUGAUCCUGUACUCAAAAGGUUGUAGCAAUAUAAUGGGUAGGAGAGUCCCAUUUUGCUAAUAAAGUUUUUUAAAAGGGUUUUGGCCAUGUGGAGUAUAGAUAAAUCUUUAGAAAUGUAUAAGAAACAGUAAAAUGAAUAAUUAUGAUAUUUAGUUAUACAGAUCCAUUAAAAUGGCUUAUGGUGUAGAAUAUUAUUUUCAUAGCCAUAUUUUGCGUUUUCUUUCUACUAUUCAUUUGGUAAAAACAAUUUGAUUCAAAACUCUUCAUAUUUAUCUCUGACAUCAGUGUUUCUGGAGCAAAUUUUCAAAUCAUCUUAUGGAACAUUCAUGUUCAUUUAAGUUGUUAGAUAAAGAUACAGCACUUUCUGCAUGAUAAUAUUGUUGUACUUUUUAUCCCAAGCCAUAAAUAUCAAUUUAUAUAACAAGUUGUUGUUUUUUUUUUUCAUUUGUUCUUAUGUGUAAAUUUGUGAUCCUUAACUAUUUACUGCAUUGCAAUUUUAAGUGAUCUUUCAAAGGUUUGUUUGCUGUGAUAUCCAAUAGUUGCUACUCUAAGGUCAUAUCCUGUAAACAGUUGUUAAAUCUGUGUUAAUUUUCAUUAUCUCAACCCCCCCCCCCACAAUUUUAUGUUUACUUCCACAGGCAUCUAAUAUUCUUGUUAAUUGAAUAUUUUCCAGACUAAUGUGUGUUUUCCAAAGAGUAUUUAAAUAUUAAAAAUAAUUUGGAAAACAUCCCUUAUAAUUAAAGACAUUGUAAAGACCUGAAUAUAAGACAGCUUUCUUUUCUCCUGAGAGAUAACUGGGUAAGGAACUACAGUAGAGUAUGCUUUUUAUUUGGGAAGAUAGUAAUAGAAAUUUUCUUGAAAUGUUUAUCUAGUUAUAUAAAUUUAAAAUUAUUCAAAUUUCUUAUUUUUGUUCAAUACAUGUAUAUACACAUAAUAUGUAUAUAUUCAUAUAUAUAUAUAUAUAUAUAUAUAUGAAUAUAUAUAUAGUUUUGGAAUGAUGCAAACAUUCAGGGAACAAAGUUCCUGCCAUUAUAAGGGUUUUUAGACUUUGGUGAAUAUUUAGUUUAAAAAUGAACUGAAUACCUGCCAUGUAUAAAGUAAUUACAGGGAGAAAUAUAUGACUUAUAGCCCAUCCUCAACAGUUUAUGAGAAAUUGCCAGGAAAUAUAGUUAUGUUCAUAUUGGAUAUAACGUGUCUGAGGAUCCUGUUCAUAUAAAAAGAGGUAAAGAAAAAAGAUGUGUGGUAAAAGGGUAAAGAGAGAAUAUUUACAUGUUUAAACCAUUACAUAUUAAAUCAUCAUAUGGAAAAACAUAUAAAGAAAUAAAGAAAUGCAAAUUAAAGUAAGAUAGCAACAUAUGUGUAUUGUAAUGUCUGAACAUAAAGUGAGGUGUUGGAGAAGCUGUAGGGAAACAGAUAUACUUUGAUGGUGCUUCCAUUGCUUGACAAUUCAUGGAAAUAUGUGCACAAAACUAUGUUAAGUGAAAGAAUUAGAUCACAAUAGAGUAUAUAAACACCGAUUAUAUCUAUAAUAAUGCGUGUAUGUUGACAUGUAUUGGAAGAGGAUUUAAGGAAUGUAAGUAGUUUAAUGUUCAUUUGCAUUUUCUUUCUGGAACAGUUAUUUAAGUGCAUACUAAUUUGAAAAGAAUGGAAUGAAAAAUUAUUCCUCAUCACACCCCUAAAACACAUACAUAUACACGCAUCUUUGCAAAUAGAUUGUGGUUGAAUAUGAUGUUCAUUGUUUGUGAUGUUUCAACAUUAUAUAUAAAUCAAAGACUUAAUUGAAGUUGUAGCUCUGUUCUUUAUCUAUGAAGUAUUUUUGAUCACUGUUUAUUAUAGUAAUGAGAAAAGAGGAAAUCUUUUCCUCAUAAAUCCUGACAAUCUACAUUUUAAAUCCUUUCACAAUAUGAAUUCUUUGCCCCCACUAAAUAAAUACAGAAAUUAUAAACUUGCUAUUGCUGCCUUAUUCUCCCUCCCUUCCUUUCUACACUGAGUAGUUCUUUUUUGACCUUUCCCUGUCAGUUGUGUUUGAGGGGCCUAUAGACACAUUUCACAAGGAAGUUCACUUAGUGGGAAAAAAAAGAGAGAUGACAAGAAAACUCUUUGCCACCAAAGGCUGAUACAUUGAUAUGUGUUUAUUAGACAUAGGCAGCUAAGAUUCAGCUAACACAGAGAAAAAAAGUGAAUACCUACUAUGGGUUACACAGUGUUGCCUGGCACUCUAUAGGGGGAACUUAGUAAUCCUCCAAGCUAUGAAACAUUAUUCCUAUUCUUGCUUGACAAAACUGUCAUUUUAAUAGGCAGUUUUCUUUACCACCCAGGAAAGUGGUCUUUCCUUUCUGCUGUGAUGCCUUUGAAGUGGUCAGUUCCCAAUGAAAAGAAGCUUCUCUCUGUGUUAUGGGUUAUAGUGUAAUUUAAAACAUAUAGUUCUUUAGAAAGCAGGAUAUUUUUAAGAAAGAUAUUUUUAAAAAAUAAGUGUGCUGCUUUUCUCAUUAAAAAAUGUAUAUUGUUGCUAUAAAAUUUCUUUAUAAGGGCAUUUGGAAAAUUUGAUACAAAGCAAUUUAAAAUUAUAUAAGCAAUUUAAGUGGAAUCUAAACAUGAAGCAAAACUAUCUACUACUUUAAUGAUAUCAAUUAAAUAAACUUAUGAGCUGAUGAAACUUUUCAAUUUUUAUUUAGAGAGGAUAUUGGCAUGCUGACCAAUAACAACAGGAAAUUCAUGUACUAUUAUAAAGAAAUUUUUUAGAGAAUCAUACAUAGCAGACUAUUAGGACUGUAGAUUGAACCCUCAUGGGGUGAUGGGACCAACAAGGAUUAUUAACCAGUAGAAAGUUUUCUGACUUGUCACAUAACAGUAUUAAAAUCACAUGAAAAUGACUGCAAUAGUAGCUUCUAUGACUGGUGGGAUAUUAUGGAGAUUGGAAUUGCAUACCAGAUGAUAACCAGUAUUUUAAGGUAGAGGCAGGAGGAACUGCUGGUAUGAAUCAUGUAGAAAGAUUACAUGGAAGACUGUCUUUUUUAACAGAAGGAAAGGGGAGGAAAGGAAAAUAUUUUAGAAAUAGGAUAGGAAAUGUGGCUAUAAUAUAAUAAGACUCAUUUAUAUAAACCACAUAUACAUAAAGAUCCAUCUCCUUUUGCUGUAGCCACAGUAUGUUUGUGGCACACAGGAGUAAGAAAGCUGAAUAGGAAGUAAUUGUUCAAGAAAAGAAUUACAGAGUUGAAAUAAGUAAAAUGGCAGCAUUUUAUAGUAAUUUAAAAUGGGUACCCAAUAGUAAGUGGCAUGAAGAAUGCUUGCAAAAAAGGUAUUGCUUUCUAGUCAAGUCUAAACAACUCUGUUGAUGAUGUACAGCUCAUUCAAAUUCCAGCAAAUAAUUGGAAACAGAUUUUAUGAAACAGAGCUCUCAUUUAACUUGUUCACCUGACAAGUUGGCUUUGAAUUAUAUUUUAUUACCAAUCAACCUAAAUUAAAAAUACUGAGCUCACUGCAAAACCCUGCAGACAGUGUCUCGAAUACUAAAACACAUGCUGUAAAGACUAUACUUUCAGGGAUCAUUUCUAUAGUUCGUUAAAACACAUGCUGUAUGUAAAUAAUGUUAAGGUAAGGACAAAGACUGACAAAAGCAAUGACAGUGAACAUUAAUGUGACACCAGUAGCUUUAAGUUCUUUCCUUCAAAAAUGUGAAACAUAAUGAAAUUACUAGAAAGGGCAAUACAGUCAGCUUUUCUGACUUGUGUUUACUAAAAGAGCUUUUAAUUAUUCAAUCACAAGUCUAAUAACUUCUAAUAAAGGCAUGGUGCCAAACAUCAAAUAUAUAUACAUUCCUACAUAUACCUAAGUAUGUGUGUAUGUAUCCAUAAUCACCCAUACAUUCCAAGAUGGACAUGUCACUGAAAUGCUAGCCCAUAUAAUUACAUUUUUUCCUCAGGUCUUUGUAUAAAUGUGUAUAAGGACUUUAUGGACUUUGCAUGAUGUAAAUGUUUUAGAUCAUAGAAUCCAGGUAACUUUUGCUUACCAAAGAACUAGAUUGCUGAAUAUCAUAGUAUUAUAAAAUUGCAGGAGUCUCAAACUCACUCUGUAAUUACUUCUCUAGAGUACUUAUUAUAUGGGAUCAUGAGAUGAUUAUGGUCUGUCAUGUUAUUGCUUUCUUUCUUUAUAAAUAUUUUAUCAAAUUUUAAUCAUAUAAUUAUCCAAUAAAUGAAUGAUAGAACCAUUAUUGUUAUAUGGUUCAUUUCCUUACAUCCAUUUCCCUUAUUUAAGCUUCUCAGUUUUAUCUCUUUGUUGUGUAGAAUAUUUGUUAACAAAUUGAUUCUCUUUUCUGGAAGUUAGUGUCAUUAUCUAUAAAGGGUUGGACUUUAAUUAAAUAAUCCAUGAAUUCUCUGAAAGGAAUUUGAAUGUUCCAUUGAUUAUCCCCAAAUUAUUAAUACAAAUUCAUGAGGUUCUUUUUAAAAAUAUAUGUAUAUUUCAAAAAUACUUUAUUGACAUGCAUGAAUUGAGAACUGAUAUACUAUCAAAACUCCUGUCUGCUUUGCUUAUGUUGAGGGAUGGAUGCAUUGAGAAACAUCAAGUUCAAGGAAAGAGAAACUAUGAGGCUAAUCAGUCUUAGGUUUAUGAUGAAAUAGUGAUUAGCUUUCCCUCUCUUGGUAAAGAAUACACUAAGAACAAAAGUGCAUAAUGUAAUGUUACAUCAUAAAAUUAGCCUUAAAAAUGCCAUACAAUCAUGGUAUGUGAAAUAAGCCAAUCCUAAAGAACUAAAGGUUGGGUGUUUUCUCUGACAUGUGGAUGCUAAUCCACAAUAAGGGGAUGGAGAAUAGAAUUUCAGUGGAUUACACAAAGGAGAAUGAUGGGAAGGGAGGAGGGUGAGAACAGGAAAGACAGUAGAAUGAAUGGGUCAUAACUUUUCCUAAGUUCAUAUAUGAAGAUACCACAGUGAAACUCCACAUCAUGUACAACCACAAGAAUAGGAUCCUAAUUAGAAUAAAUUAUACUCCAUGUAUGUACAAUGUGUUAAAAUAUACUGUCAUGUAUAACUAAAAGGAACCAAUAAAAAGUUCUGUAGUGCUGGAGAUGCUUAGGGAAGGUAAUCACUCGAUGCAGAAUAUUAGCACACCUCUUCUUGAAUGUGCUUUAAAGCCAGGGUACAAAACAAGAGUGGAGCUAUUUCUCACAGUGCAACAGAAAGGCAAUUUAUGUGUGCACUUAUGUAUUAUUUAUUUAUUUUUCUGAGCUGUUUCUCUUUAAAGAAAAUGCUCAGACCGGACCUAUAGAAGGUGUACUUACCAUUGGCCUUUAAUGAUACAGACAUCAUCAUUGCUACCAAAGUUAGAUCAUAAUCAGGUUUAUAUGAAGUUAGUUUAUGUGUAUCAAGAUGUAAAGACAGACUUGAUCCCUCUCCUUCCUAUAUAUAACCAGUUUAUAAUCUGAAUGUGAUAAAAAUCUGUGAAUUUUGUUGUAUUUUUUUCUAUAUCAAUUCUUGUAACCACACAACAUUUUAUAAGACAUACUUUGAUUCUAAAUAAUCAUUAGUACAAAUUUAAGUCAAAGUUGUUGGGCACAGAGAUAGGUAACAGGCAAUAAUGAGAUCACCCAGCUAAGUUCAGGUCUGAGUGUUUUCUUUAAGGUUGUAUAAUGAAGGUAAUGAUGGGCAGUAAGAAUGACAAGACCCUCAAGAAAGAACCAGUCUCAAAAUUUGCUUUUUUAAGUUUCUUAUAACAUAUUCAAUUCCAUCUAAAUAUUGCAAGCAGCUGAAUUGCAAAUGUUAACCUACACAUGAAUAAAAAAUGUUGAUAUUUUAUUUAACCUAAAAAUAGUGAUUAUGGAUAGGCUGCUUUUAUUAUUAUCAUAUUAAAAUAUAUCAUUUUACAUUGGGAAUACAGGAAGAAUUGUCAUUGUUAUUAUGUAAUAAGAAAAUUUGUUUUGAGUGCAUUAAAAAUACAGUAGAUGAUUAUUGCAGUAUAAGGGGGAAAGUUGUUUCCCUUUGACAGUCUAUCAGUAGAUGUAGCCUAGGAAGAAAAGUAUGGUGGCUGCUUUAUAUAAAACAGUAGAAGGACACAAACUUAGAGAAAUUUUUCCCAGCUGCUGUUAUUAAAGAAAUUCUUUUAUAGAAGAGAGACUGCUUUUAAAAAAAAAGUCUUUCCAUUUUUGCUCCCAUCUCUGAAUCCAUCGCUUUCAUCUGGCAUGCAAAGCGUCUGUGUAUGGCAGCCUGUAACUUCUGUUAUUUAAACUGCCAACUGUUAAAAUGGAUUGAGUUGAACCAGAGGAGGAGAAUAGCCCCACUGAGGCAAAUGCAUUUUUACACCUUUCUUUAAUAAAAUAUUGUAAGGAAUAGCUAGAAAGUUUCCUCUCACACUUUCAUCUAAAAUUGUUAGACUGUAACUGUGUGAAAGAAUCAUUAUUGACUCCUGUCAGACAGUCUUGGAGAGAAGGUGAAGAGACUCCUCUCCUGAUUUUUUUGCCCGCUUUGUCAAAUCAGGUACUUUGAGCAGAAGUACGAAGUGAAGGCCAAUGUCAGGCAGUGCCUUGAAGCAGGAACUUGUGCUAGUCUCCUGUGACUUUCUUCCUUAUUUAUUUAUUUUUAAGGAGUCAGAUUGGAUUGUAAAAUGAUGGGAAUAUGACUGGACAGAAACACGUUUAUUGCAGGCUCAGCAGCCACUACAUAUCAUUAGUGAAAAGAUGCAAAGGUAUGAGGGAGACAAUUUUGUUGUCAGUUUCAUUCUUUUUGAGGACAAAUACAUUCAGUGAUGAGAGAGAAACUGGCAUCUAUGGAAAUUUAGGGAUCUGUAAUAAUUUAAUGCCUACUUUUUUCCCUAUAGGUAAACAUAUAACCUUUUAAUAGUCAUUAAUAUAGAGAUAAUAAACAGUGUUAAAGUUGCUUUUAAGGACACCAAUUUUGAAGCAACUAUGACUUAUCAGAAUCAUUAAAUUUCAGUUUCAAACUGAUCUGUUUCUCACCUAGCUACAUACAAUUGCUGUUAUUACCACUUUUUCUGCAGUUAAUGCCCAAAUACAAUAUUUCAAAGGUAAGAAUACUUUUUUGUAGGAAUAUAAUUUUGACCUUAACUUAACUUUCCACCUAUAAAAGAUCAUAUUCCUUACACAUAACCUCUAAAGUUAGUCCUAUUUUCUGACUUUUCUUUAUUAUUCUUGCCUGAGAAUAUCUGUAAUUGGCUUGCUCUGCAAAGCAUUUUAUUUACCCUUCUGAAUAUUAGCUAUUUUAAGGAUCUGAAUGUAUUAUGACAAGGAAUGCAAGAUUUAACUUCAACCCCUCCCUUUCCCCACCAACAGCCAAAUUAAUGCUUUAUCUUUUGAGUAUUCCAGAAAAAAAGUGAAACUGCUACAGUAUAACUAGUACCAACAGGAAUCUAAACAGAAGAGAUAUUUCAAGGGGUGUGGUGUCUCUGUGCCCAGCAUGGAUCAUGGCCCUGCCCUACUUCCAAGCUUCUAACCUGUCCUCAUAACCAUUUCUUCUGUAUUGUGAUUUUUUAAAAGUGAAGCACUUUUAGAUGUCCCAUAUGGUUUGAAACAAAUCAGAAAUUCAUGUCCUAAAUGUUUCGUUAGUCAGAAUAAUUAAGUUGAUCAGUUCGGGGAGCAGUGGAAGCACAAUAAUGGGGUCAUUGAAGCAGUCAAGCUCUAAUGGGAACCUAAGCUCAUUCAGAUAUCAAAUCUAAUAAUUGUUCUACACCUGUAUGCACAGUCCCAUUGAGCAAAUUCACAUUAAAGGUUUAGUGGAACUGUUUCAAUGCUGUGGUCCAAAGGGACUUGCUACUGUUUUCAUAAGAAAGCACUGAAUAUUUUUUGGCAGUAUUUUUUUGUGUGUGUGUGAUGUGUUAACUAGGCUCUAUGUUUGUAUGUUGGUGCCCUAUCCUAUCCAGGGAGGAAGGAAAAGGAGAUAUGUAUUUCUUGAAAUGGUUUUCUUACCAUUUAAAGAUAAUAAAGAAUCUUUCAAGUAUUUACCACCUGGAGGCAAUUUGAGAUGACUGAACUCACUGAAUUUUUGGGUGGAAGGAGGAAGGGUUUGUUUUCAUAUGCAACCUACUAGAAAUAAGGGCUUCUUAACCCCUUCUCACCAUAAAAUUGUAUCAACUACAAUUUGGGUUAUUGAAGUAGAAAGUAGCAAUUAGACAUUCUGUAGUAAUGCAAUGUUUCAUUUCUCCUAUGUCACUAUAUGGCUGUAACAGCAAAUUGACUGCCUUUGAUUCUCCUACAAGCUAUCUAAGGAGAGCUGACAGACCUAAAAAAAAAGUAAAGAUCUAAAGAGUGGAAAGAUGAAUUUAAUUCUGCCCUAUAAUGACCGUUGAACUAACCGCUCUCCAAUAGAACUCUCUUACCAGAGGCUUCAAAGCACACAGGAAAAUGAAAAGAUGAGCAAUAUAUCUUGAGCAACUAUGAAAGACAGAUAUGGCUAGCUCUCUUUAUCAGAAAAGGCAAUCAAAGCUGAAUUCACUUACUUGAAAAAUAGUUUCUAUGCACAUACAAGCUUACUUAUUCAAAUGAAUAUUGUGCUCUGGUAUGUUUGUUUUCUUUGGGGCUAAACAAAAGAACGUGUUCAUUUAAAAAUCAUUCACAAAGUGCCUGUUACAUUCUAGGCACCAAGAAAAUAGGUAAAAAUGGCAGUUCCUCCCUUUCCAGAGCUCACAGUAAAGCGGGGGAAGACACACUGCACAGAGACAAUCAUGGUAAAAAGCUCAAGCUGAAUCUUAACCCAAGUAUGAGUUUCUUGAAUAGGAAAAGAAAAAAGAAGAGAGGCAUAAUCCAAAAAAAGGAGCAGCAUUAUUGGAGGCAAUAGGAGAGCACGAUAUCCAAGGAAGAGCCAGCUGUUCACCAUUGCUGGAAUUAUAGGUAUAAGAGGCUGGGAAAACAAGUAGUCAUGUUAGGCUUUGUUAGAUAAGGCAUUUGUUUUACUUUUUUUUUUCCUCAUGGGUGAUGAGCCAUUCCAGGCUUUGACUUACAGUAGCAUGAUCAGGUGUACCUUGUAGCAUGACUUUUUCCUAAGGUGCAGCUGGUGAGGCCAGAGGCAAAAGGAUUCAAUAGGAAUCUACUAUAAGAACCAAGGCAAUAGAAGGCCUGCACUAGGGUAGUGGCAGAGGAGUUGCUGAUGAAGAAGAAAUAGAUACAAGAAUGAUCAGGCUGGACGCAGUGGCCUACACCUAUAAUCCCAGUGGCUUGGGAGGCUGAGACAGGAGGGUUGCGAGUUCAAAGCCAGCCUCAGCAAAGGAAAGACACUAAGCAACUCGGUGAGACCCUGUCUCUAAAUAAAAUACAAAAUAGGGCUGGGGAUGCGGCUCAGUGUUUGAGGGCCCUGAGUUCAAUCCUCCGUACCCCCUCCCAAGGGGAAAAAAAGAAUGAUUCAGAAGUUAAAAUUAAUUGAACUUGUUGAGUUACUGGAUAUGAAGGUUAAGAUAAAAGGAAGGAGUAUAGUAUGAUUGGUUGAUUGAUUGAUUGAUUUCAUGAAUAGAUGUAUGAUGGCUCUAUUUGUUUUCUGGUGCUGCUAUAACAAAAAACAACAAAUUGAAUAGCUUAAGCAACAGAAGUAUAUUGUCUCCUAGUUCUGGAGCCUUCACACCUGGGAUCAAGGUGUUGGCCUGGCUGUGCUUCCUCUGAAGGUGAUAGUAAAGGGUCUAGUCCAGCCUUGCCCCUAGGUCCUGGUGGUUUUCUGACAGUAUUUGGCAUUCUUUGGCUGGUAGAAACAUCAGUGGGAUUCUGCCUUUGUGUUCACAUGGCAUUCUUUCUUAAUGUGUGUUGGCCUCCAAAUUUUUCCUUGUUAUAGGACAUCAGUCAUAAGGAAUUAGAGUCUACUCUAAUAAGUUCAUCUUAAUAACUUCUAUAUAUAUUCUGCCUUGAAAUGAGGUCACCUCACUCUUAUAUAUGAGGACUUAAAUACUCUAACAUAUGAAUUUGGAGGGACACAAAUCAACCUAUAACAUGGUGCCAGUUAUCAAAACAAGGAAACACAAAAAGGAGGGAAUAGAGUGGAAAGAAAGGAAGUCAGUUUAGUUUGAAUCUUGAGUGUGGUGUAGCUUUUGAAUAAUAAGGAGAAAUAUUAGGAGGUGAUUGAAGCAAUAGGUCCACUAGCAUACAGAAGGUUGAAGUUGUUGAAAUUUUGCAAAUAGAUGAGUAUACUCAUGGAAAGUUAGGUCAUGCAAAAUAUAGAGAAUAAUAUGGAAAAGGACAAAGAGUAGAACAUGAAAUUAACUCACCACAUUGGGGCAGGAAAAGAAUAGUUGCUUAGAAACAGAAGGAUCAGAUGUAAAGGUAGUUUGAAAAUGAAGAAAUAAUAGUAAGAGAGUUUCAUGGAAGGAAUAAUUGUCAAUAGCAUUGUGCUACAGACAGGUGAAGGAAAAUGCAGAUGAAUGGACUAAAAUUCUAAUGCUUGAAGUAGUAUUGAUUUAGAAUAAGCCUAUUCAUAGAGUCAUCAUGGAACAUACCCUGUAUUCAAUAGAAUUUUACUCUGUAUCAAUAGGGAAAAGAAAAGAUGAUUUAUAUGGUAUAAAAUUUUAUGCUUACAGAAAUUGUAUUUUUAUAAUCUAAUUUUAUAAUCUGUAAGAAAGUAUUCACUAUUGGAGUAUAUUUCCAAAGGUAAUAAAAUAAACCUGAAAGAGAAUCUUUUAGAAAUAAUGUGUGCAAAUUCUGCCUUGGUCUUGAGAUUUUGCUAUUUAUGGUUAUUGUAUUUGUGACUAGUGUUCAGAAUAGGAUAAAAUAGAGCAUCUCAGAAUGAGAUUGUAAUGCGGCUGGUCAGAAGAGCAUCUUCUAAGGAAGGAUUUUUCACUUCAAGUCAAUGUCUGAUUUUAUGUAGUCAACACUGGAGCUCUCAGGGCUGCUAAAUGUCAGUUUAUGUACAAUUUAACAAUGUAAGCAUACAUAUUAUCCUUUUCCCUCAAUUUCCUUAAAAACACAAAGCCAUCUCUGGAACCUGUUCACAAUUAGAUCCAUAGUAAAAGAAUAUAUUGAAAAGGUAGAGUUUGUAAACUAUUUAUUUCCCCAUACAAAUAGGUGUGUAUAGGAAUGAAUGGCAUGUUUAUACAUCUAUAAACCCUCAUAAAAUUUUUACUCAGCAAAAGAAUCAUUGUGUAUUUAUUUCAUGACUGUGUAGUAUUGAGAAAACUAAUACAGAGGUAGAUGAGAUGGCAUUCUCUGCCAUUCUGGUACUAUCUUCUUGGAAAGAUGAGACUGAAGUUAUAGUGAAUUGGUAUGAAGCUGGCUAUAAUUAACAGUUGAAUUGUACAAGCUAAGUUUGUGCUAUUGGAGUCCAGAUGAGAGAGAGACAUGUAAAGGCUAGAAGGAUUGGGGAAGUGGGAUUUUAGUUGGGCUUAGAAGGAUGGAUAGUCUUUAAUAGAGGGGAAGAAAAAAGAAGAGUGGGCACAUAAGCAAAAAUCUAAAAUAAGUGUGUGUUGUGGAACAGUUAUGAAGUGAACCUAGCUAGAUUCAAGGAUGGGUAGUAGAGAAUAAGAGAAAAUAUGAUAGAUGAAAUAGGAUUUAUGGAAAAACAAACAACAAUAACCAAAAAUACCCAGAAAAUGUGUAUUCUAUAGAGUUCCCCUUUACUUUCUUAGCUGCCACAAAUUUUAGAGCCAAAUUUAUUACACACAUAGAUUCUAAUCUCCCUGAGCUACUUCCUUAGCAUGAAUCUGUUCACUUUUAUCUUCAUAUGUCUUAUCUUGCAGAAAAUUUUAAUCUACGAGCCCUCUGAAGUCAUUUUGAAAGUUAACUUGUUAAAUUUUUCAUUGCCACUUUGUCUUUUUUUUCACCACUUCAAAUUAGGGGUGAGCCAGGUUCAUCCUAUUUUAAAUCACCAAUAGCCUUUUGAGCUAAGGGAGUAAGGUCUCUUUCAGAAGCCUACUCGGAAAGGCAGGGUGACAGAUCCCUUGAAGGGAAGAAGGCGUGAGUCUAAUGACUAGUCUAGCCAGUGCACUGCUUCUCAAAUUUUAUGAAUAAUAAAAGGGAUCUGUGGAUCCAUUUUAGUGGGAACUUCACUCUUUGGAAUCCACAGUAAUUGAAUUAAAACUAUUUCUAAUAUAUUGUGACUUAAAUUUCAAUAAAUAUAAAAGCAGGCACAAACUCCAUAUGCUUUCAUGAUUUUAAUAAAACUAUAAAACAGAACAACAAAAUUAUCAUUCAUUUAAUAUGCCCACUGAUGCUAUAUUUAAUAAUAGAAAGAUUUGACUUCAGAUCCAGUUAUACAUUUUUGCCUCAUUGAUAUUAAUACAGAGAAUCUCUGCUAUAUAACUAAGCCAGACAAAAUGGCACCCAUAACUUUGAGGGUUUGUGACAGAACUCAGGGUCAUCAGACUCCACACUGAGUGAAAACUCUGGCAGUGAGCAAACCUCAAAUUCCAGUUUUCAUUGGUCUCAACUGAGUAAGUUUGUAAAGUUGUCUUGCUCACAUGAAGAUAAGGCUAGGAUUGAAAUCUGCAUAACAUGAGAUAACCCAUUUAUAUUAUUGGAAUCUGGAGUACAAAGGUUGUUUUGUGCAUAUUUUCCACUCAGUUUACAAUUGAUAAACAGCUGUAAGGGGACCCAGAGCAAUUACAUUCUCAUAAUACAUUGGCACACAUCAUGAAGAUGGUACUGGCUGCCAUGUCACAGUUUCUCUGUCAUAUGUGCAACUCACCUGUGCUGUUAUGUGAGUUAGUGUCACACCCUGUGAUGACUCAAUUGCAAAAAAAAAAUUGUCUAUUCAAAUUAUUGUGGAACCUUAAUUAGUACAAUACACCAUAAAGUUACUUGGCUGUCAGAUAACACAAAAACAAAUGAAUGUACAUGUAGACCUUGCCAUAUAUUAAUGAUCAAUGCACUAGUUACUUAGAAAGUGAUGAUACAGAAUAUGCCUAUGUCAACAGUUUUUACUGCCCCAUGAAAAUGAAAACACAAAACUUUAAGUAUAUCUUACUUUAAGAAAUAAGCACAUGGUGAGCUUCAUUGGAUUUUUUUCAUGUGAAAUUUGCCACAACAUUAGGAAUUACAUAAAAUAAUUAAUGGUUUCUUUUAGAACAGAAACUUCCUCUGGACACUUUAAGAAAUAAAAUGAGCUUCACUUCUUUCUGUGUGUCUGUUCAUCCUUUUCUAUUUUUCUGUAACUGGCUUAUUACCCAAUUGAACAGUGCCUUUUUAUCAUGAAUUAUAUAAUUAGUUACUAGCCAACCUAUGAAUUGGCUGCCCCUGGGGGGCAGAUAUCCAUCAUGGUAUAAUCAGUGGCCACUGAUAGGUGGGAGGAGAGCCAAUUUAGUACUGCUACCUACGUAAACAAAUAAAUGACAACAACAAAAACAUUUGAGCAGGAUGGUUUUAGUGAGACGUGGGUUGGGACUGUCAGGCACAAUGCCCUGAGGUAACUGUUAUGUCUCUAAAAAAUAUCAUCUCUUUCAGGGUCACAGGAAAUGCAAGUGUAAGUUAUAUUCAUUGCCUCCACUUAUUCCUCAACCUUCUGCAGUCUGGCUUCUGCUCCCCUUAUUUCACUGAAAUUGCUCUCAUUAAGGUCUCUAAUGACCUCCAUAUUUCUAAAUCUGAUGGUUUUCUGUCUUUAUUUUACUGCAUCUUUCUACAAUAUGUGAUAUUAUUGCUUAUGCCACUUUUCAAAAUAUCUGCUCCCUUGGAUUCCAUAACAUGCACUCUCAUGGCUCUUUUUGUAUGUCUCUGAAUACUUGCUGUUUCCUUUGUGGACUCCCGGUGCUAUGCUCAUCUUUUAAAUAUCAGUAUUUCCCAGGAUUUGAUUAUCAGCUCACUGCUCUUCUCACUCUCCAUACUUUCCAAAGUCAUGUUUUCAAUUACAAAAUAUGUGAUGAUUCUCCCAAAUCACUUUUAUUCUUUCCAGGCCACUCCCCUGGCCAUCAGCCUUUUAAUAUUUAACAGCCUGUUGAUUGGCUCCACCUUAAUGUGUUAAAGGUAACUGUUCAUUUUCUGUGCUCCUGAAGAGUGUACCCUAAUGAUAGCACUUACCGUCUUAUUGUCUUUGUAUGCUACCCCUAUUUGAAUGACAGCAUCUUGAUUCAUCCUAGUAUUAAAGGAUGUAAUCUAGGUCAUCAAACAUACUGAGAACUAUAGAGCAGAGUACAAAGGUGGCCAAGACAUAUCUUCAUCAGACUAUUAAACCAAAAGACCACAGUCACUACAUAGUACCUGCCUUGAAAGAAAAGACUGACUCAUUAUCUCUGUAUCCCUCUAGUAGUAUACUAGGCACAUAGUUAGUGUUCAAGAAAUAAAUCAUAGGCCUGUUUUUGGACAGAGAGAACUAUGCCCAACGUGGGAAUAGACUCUGCUUAUGAUGGCAAGACUCUCCCCUCUUUCCACUGAACAGGCUACUCAGGAAACCAAAUUAAAGGUCAGCAGGUUGCCUGGUAAAUCUGCUGUACUAAGGAAGAAAAAAAAAAAAAAAACAAGUGACUGGUUUUACUAGAUGCAUCAUUCAAGCCAGACCAGAAUCUCUAGAAAUAAUCUCUUUCUACCCUAAGGGACAAAUCUGUCCAGACAACUGGAAUCCUAGAGUGAAGAAGUAAUAUAAAGCAGUCUGGCAACAUUGCUAUAUCCACUGGAUGACAAUAAGAAAAAUAAAUAAAUUGUUAUAAAAGAUUUUCAUUGCUUCUCAAAGGCAUAAAAAUUACCCCAGCCCAUGAUGACUUGGGAAAUAAAUAAAGUCAAAAUCUUGAUAAAUUCCGAUUUCCUGACUAAUCUUAAUUAAGUCUUUGUUUUUCUAGACUAAUCUAAAAGAGAUUUUUUAAACAUCUGUUUGCAUCUUAUCUCAUUGUCCCAGAAGUAACUAAAAAAAUGUCAUAAUGCCAUGAGGUGGUCUUAGAAUUUAAAAAGCGUAAUAAGAUCUUGAUGCUAGAAUCUUUGGAAUUUGAUUCUUAUAUAAAUUAUGUAAUAAAAUAUAAAUAUCUUAUGUAAGUUUUAUAUAAUUAUCUAAAUGCUAUAAUUAUUAUAUAAUAUAAAUGUUAAAAAUAUAAACUUUUAUUCUGUAUUAGGUUCCAUUCUAGCCCAUUUACAUUAUUUAAUUCUUGGGACAACCCCAUUAGAUAGGCCUUUAAUAUUAUUUCAUGUUCACAAAGGGGAAUUUAAAUUUAGGAAAACAAUGCUAAUAGGUGGCAGAAAAAUGAACAAUAUGUACCCCUCAUGGCUACUACAAACUUUGACCUAUGCCUAACACUAAUCAGUGGAUAUUCAUUAUAAGCAGAGACAGCUUUUUGCUUGAAGUUUAUUGACUGAUGUGUUUGUAUGUGUGCAGCUUACUUUAAACCUAUUAAAAGAUUAAUAUGGGCCAGGUACUAAAUUAUGUUAUUUAGUCCUAUUAAUACCCUAUAGUGUAUGUACUAUUAUUAAAAAUCUCCAUUUUGCAAAUGAGGAAAUUGAUGUUUAGAAAGGUUCAUUUUGCAAAUAAAUAAAUGUGAGACUGGCCUAAUGAGUUAGAAAAAAUGUGUCUAGUAGUGUACCUUAAUAAGUUCAAAGACUACAUAUAACAAUUGGCUUUACUUUGUCAUAAAUUGCACCAGUAUAAAUGGUGGUAAGAGAAAGAAGAAUGCUUAGUGCCAUAAUUCUUCCCACCACUCCCACACACCACCACCUGCACUAUAUAGGGAAAAGUAUGCCUUGUGGAAAAUAGAUCCAUAUCAUUUACUAUCAAAGGAUAGUUGGUUCAUUCCUCUUUUAAUUUGUUAUUUUUAGGCAAUGUGUUGCAAAGCAGUUUUAAAGUCUGAUGUGAUUUUAUCAUUGAAGUAAAGCUUUCUCUCAAAAGAUGAUAUAAUGACAUACUUCCAUAUCUUUUUGGAUUUUUACUCAUAUUUGUGAAAUGAGUGAAUCUUUUGAAGACAGUCACUUUUUUAUGACUUGAACUUUUAGAAUUUAGAAUCUAACAAUAUGUGAGAUAUCUUCAUAAAUGAUAAUAGCAUGGGAAGACACAUUUACUUAUGUUCUAAUACUUGUCUUUACCAUCAGAGAACAUUCUGUAGCCCUUACUGAAGCAGGGAAAAGAAAUGGCACCUAUUUUCUGUUCUUUUUGUUCCUUUCCAUUAUGAUGUACUUAGUGAUUGUAUAAUCAACCAGGAAUUAAUUCAGAGAUUAUUGACUGCUCUUUUUUAAAAAAAUGAAAACAGUAUGUGCUUUAUAGCUGAGGACUGAGAACUUAAGACCUUGUCUAUAUUUCUCCCCUAACUUGGCAAAUUGAUCAUGCUUAAAUGCCCCAAAUACAGAUGUUUAGGGAAAAGUAAAAACAAUUGUAAUUUCUCCAUUAAGACAAGAGCCAGUUUUUUGGGUGUAUAUCCUUUCAAGCUUUUCAGAAUUAUAUUUUAAGUUAUAAUUUAAAAAAUAAUAAUAUGAUAUUCUCUUUUAUAACUUGCAUUUCUCACUUUAUAAUGUGGAUCUCUUUCUAUCCAGACACACAGAUCCAUAUAACAAUUUAGAUGGACUGCAUAGUAUCUCAGUUUAUGUAGGUUCCAUAUUGCAUCUAAUCCCAUAAUGAUAUGUAAGCUGUUUGUGAUUUUGCUUGUACAAAAAUGCUGCAAAGAACAUUGGAAGAAUGGCUAUUCACAUUUAUACAUUUUUCUGAUGUUGUGGGGACUGGCUUUGUUCCAAUAGACUUUAACAAUCUGGAAUGAUUCUUUGAGACUUCUUAUAUGAGAGGUAAGUUACUAGUUGCAGCCAUUUUUAUUAGGCUGUAGCCUGGGCCUGGCACUCAGGUUUUGUAUGGGUUGUAUUAGACACUAAAAUUACAAAGGAACUUCUGUCAGUUAUGAAUAUGAAAUUGAGAAGCCAUGUUUUAACUCUGUCCUAAUUGCUCACAUUUAAAACAACUGCUGACUGGCUCCUACCUUAAGGGAGAGUUUAGAUUUUUAAACAAUGGCACUGGCAGCUGCUAAAGUGUCUGGAAUAUUAACCACACAGGUUGCCUUUGUCCAUACAACUGGUUAAGUAAUUAAGCACAGACUAGCAUGGGUAACACUACUAAUGGGAAGCACCUGUUUAUAGACUCUUGCAUUGUAAGUGUAGGUUAAGUAUCUUCUCUCCUCAAAAAUCAUAGGCACUGGCAUAUUUCAAUAACCUGGUACAUAGAGAGAUGGAGGCAUCAUGCAGGGGAAGGACUGCCAUCUCUGCCUUACUACUGAAGCCAUUGAGUUUAUUCCCUCUCCCCCCACCCUUCCUGGGGCUACUUAAGUUAGAGAGUUGGGCUGUCUGCUCUAAAACUUCCUUCAUCAACAAAAAAUAGAGGAAAGCAGCCCAAGAAAUGGGUUGCACAUGUUAAAAACAAAAAGUAGAUAGGUAGACACUGAGCAAUUCAGAAACAAAAGCAGAUGACAAGUAAGUGUAUUCUAGGUCAGCAUAUCAGCAACAAGGCUCAAGAAGAUCACAAACAACUGCCACAGAAAAUGACAGAGGACUGUCCAUCGUAUGAUUGAAGUUAGAGAAAUGGCUGAUGCCUAGUGUUCUUAGUCAUAAGGAUUUGUGCCACACAUGGAGUAGGAAGGCACAGAGAUGACAGGUGGUGGUAAUGAAUUGACUCUCUAGCCCCAAUGUCAUUUGAAAGCUAGUUUAUUCUGCACCCACAUAAAUGGCUGCUCAUGCUCUCACCCUGCCAAGCACUCUUGGCCCAGGUCAUUGUAAUCUAUGCCUUGAUCAGCUCUUGUACUGUCAUUCUUGAUAGGGCCAUCUAGACUUCAAAAACAGAUCCUCACCAGAUGAUUUAAGGGAUCCCCCUUUCUGCUGGGAUUUAUUUAUUUGUUUGUUUGUUUCUUGGAGCAGAGCUGCUGUCCUCCAUAUAAAUGCUUCAAGACUGUUUAUAAAAAUAUAAUUGAAAUUAAAAUCACCUGCAUAUGGAAACAUCCACCUUUAUCUUAGUCCUUGCAACUACAAAUCUGGCCAGUGCAUUUCCUUUCAUUAAAUUAUUUUCUUCUUAGGGAAAAAGUAAAAGAUGUACAGGCUUUCUGAUUCAUCCUUAUUCAUUCAUUGUUUUUCAUGCCUCCCCAAAAAGAAAAAUUUGGUAAUUGAAUGGUCAACAAUAUAAGGAACUAAAACUCACUUUUUCCUACUAAGUAAAAACUGACAGCUAAAUUUUUCUUCUUGUUGAAGUGCCAACUAUCCUUUUUUUUUGGGGGGGGAUACCAGAUGCUUAACUACUGAGCAACAUCUCCAGCCCUUUUUAAUAUUUUAUUUAGAGACAAGGUCUUGCUGAAUUUCUUAGGGCCUCAAUAAGUUGCUGAGACUGACUUUGAACUCAAAAUCCUCUUGCCUAAGUCUCUUGAGCGCUGGGGUUACAGACAUGUGCCACAGUGGCUGGCUCCACCUAUCUUUUUUUAAAUUUUUUUUUAGUUGUAGUUUGACCCGAUACUUUUAUUUCUUUAUUUUUAUGUGGUGCUGAGGAUUGAACCCAGUGCCUCACAUGUGCAGGGCAGGCGCUCUGUCACUGAGCCACAACCCCAGCCCCUCCACCUAUCUUUUAAAGCCUAAUCAUGAUGUAGUUUUCCAUGACCCAGAUUUCCUGCACUUAAUUUCCUGCACAUAGUUCUCUACUAUGAACCUCUACUGUACUUAGAAUCUAAUAAAUGCUACAAAAGACACAUAGUUACAUUUCAUAUAAUAAUUUUUGGUACAUUUAUCUUUUCCACUUUAAUAAUAUGAGUGCCUGUUAUAUUCCCUGCAGAUAGAUAGUUUAUGCCAAAACAAUUUGUAAUGGAUGGAUGAUGGAAGUGUUUCUUUGUAUUAAUGGCAAAAUAUAUUCCCUCCAUGUAAGCAGCCUAGUUGAAGGUGAACUCAAGGAUCAGUUCCUGAUUCAUUACUAAUGACUGGAUGAUUACUUAAUCAACAGUUUCUAAGAAACUGCUAUGUAUAAGCCACUAUGAUAGACAUCUUGAACAGUGCUGUUACAGUUUGUGUCAUUUCUGCUGGUUUGCUCUUCAACAUCAGUUUCACUUAUAUAAAUUCCUUGGGAGCUUUUCCCACUAUUUUCUAACACUCUUCAUAUUUUUAUUUGUCACCAUUUUCUGUAUUUUCCAGGUAUGCAGGUGUCCACAUCAGACUUUCAAACUCAGAGAAAGUUUUGUUUUAGGGCCCAGUUGUACUCUCUAGUAAGGAAACAAACAAUGCAUGGCUUAUGUACAAAACCAAGGAUGUUAAAAAAAAAGAUCUAUUCACUAGCUUUGACAUUGAGUCUAAAGAUAAUCAAUUGGAAGGUCUAUGGGAAUUGAAAUUCUGAACAAUAUACUGAUUUUAUUUUUUUCUGCACCAUAUUUUUCUAAAAUACUUGGAAAUACUCAAGUUAUCAAUUAUGUAAAUGCUAGUCAUUUAAAAUCCCAAGAGGUUGGUUGGACACAUUAUAAAAAUAUAUUUUUGUGAUAGAUAAAAGUAAGUAUUGCAUAUUUUCUCCAUUCAUAGCUUAAUAUGGAUUAAGUUUUUAAUGCCUUGAAGUAAUAUUAUUGUACUAUGUGAUUUUACUUUUAUCACAUAUUUCCAUCUUCCUAAAGUUACUAUAAUUGAGUUUGUUUGAUAAUGUACCUUUAUAUUACUAUGAGUCUUGAUAGUUUGCAAAAUAUGAGGUUCAUAAUAGAGAUAGAGAGUAGAGUUACUACCUGGCAGAAAGGAUAAGAAGAAAGUGAAAUAUACAAAAGUGAUUUAAUCUCUCUACAGCAGUUUUGUAAAAUAUAAUUUGUUUUUCCCCUAGCACAGCAGAGUUUCAUGCUGAUAACAAGCUACUGAAUUAAUAAAUCCAUUGCAACUAUUGAGACUUUUCCUUUAAUAACAUAACGAAUGCUGAGCAUUAAGGAAAGGCAUUCUUUGUACAGAUGUUACCCCAAGCAGAUCUACUACAUCCCUAAGCAUAGGAAAAAUACCACCAUCAUACCCUCAGCAAUAUCAAUGUGAAAAUAAUUUGUGCAUCUCAAUUAGAAUACUGUAUUUUCCACACAAAAGCAUGCUGUUUCCUGGAACACAUUUGCUUAUUUUCCAAUUGGAAAGACAUUUAGGGGUCUAUUUUGUUAUCAUUACAUGUGCUUAACUCCAAUUACAGUUAAUGGGAGUUGUGUGUCUAUAGUCACAGUAGCGUCUGAACUAUUUUAACAUUAUUGCUUUCCAUUACCAUCAUCGUUAAAAUAACUUUCCUCUCUUCUGCCAACCUGAAAUACCACAGUAAUCUGGGUUUCUGUUUUCUUUGCAUGGAUUUAUUUGCAUGUAAUGAAGGACAUAGAUUACACAACAUGGCCUGUUUCAAGUUUUAAAAACAUUACAAUGUCAUGGAGAUUAGCAUAGGGCUAGAAGUAUUUAAUUGUUAACUGAAGGUAAUUGAUUGGCUCUCAGCCAUGCAUUUUUGCAUAGCACCCUGUGUAUACAAUUCCAUAGGAAUGAAACAGUUCAAUGUGGUUUAAUAUCUAUGGUACCUAGUAGAAGCUCAAAAUGUAAAUUUAUUAUAAAAUCUAUGAGAAAAUAAGUUUUACAAAUUAGAAGCACUAGAAUCUAUCAUCAGCUAACGAAAUUAUACACUUAAUUUCAGUUAUUUGAAUCUUUGACACGACAAAAACAAAGAGAGUAAAUGUAUUAUAAAAUGUCUAGGUGAGUGGGUGUGAUGGCUCUUGCUUGUAAUCCUAGCUAGUUGGGAGGCUAAGGCAGGAUGAUCACAAGUGCAAGGCUACCCUGACAAAUUUAGUGAGACCCUGUCCCAAAAUUAAAAAAAAAAAAAAGUGGGGGGGUGGAUGGAACUGGAGACAUUGCUCAAUGGUAGACUGUCUCAGAUUUCAGUUCCCAGUGAUGGAAAAAAAAUGUCUAAGUGUAAUUGGGGAUACUCUAGGUUAGUGCUGGAAUCUGCUGUAUUUCUAAAAGAAAAUGGCUAGCUGUCAGAAAAGUUGACCAAAAAAUAGGUAUGAAGGCUUGUUCAGUUUUCAAGAAAAUGAGGAACAAUCUGAAAAACAUCAUUAGGGAUCUUAGCAUCACUUAACUCAUUGGCUUUCAGAGGCAACUGCCUACUUUUUGCUAGGAGGAGCCUAGGACCCAUUGUAUAUGUUUUUCAUGUUGUACUGGUUUUUAGUUGUUUUGUGAUUAUAAUGUGAUGUAGAACACCAAAGUGUACCCCCAAAAUAUUUGUUUUAAGUGAAAAUAUAAGUGAUACAGGUUUAAUUACACCAGAUAUUAAAACAUAUUAUGAGGCUCAAAUGAUGAGAUAAGAAGGUAUUGGCACAAAAUUGCAGAAAAAUAUCAAUGUUAACAGAACAGAAACCCUAGUAUAGAUACUUUAAUAUAUGAUAAAAAUAUAUUAUGAAUCAGUAUAGGAAUUCAUGAUGAUUCAACAAAUAAUGCAUGUCCUCUUUGUGAGGAAAAAGAAGAAAUAAAACAGUGUGAAGACUUAUUUGAUAAGGCACUAUAAAACAAAAUAAAACAGAAAAAAUAAAACACAGAUCAUCUAAAUUAUUAAAUAUAAAAAAUCAGGGCUGGGGAUGUGGCUCAAGAGGUAGCGCACUUGCCUGGCAUGCGUGCGGCCCGGGUUCGAUCCUCAGCACCACAUACAAACAAAAAGGUUGUGUCUGCCGAGAACUAAAAAAUAAAUAUUAAAAUUCUCUCUCUCUCUCUCUCUCCCUCUCUCUCUCUCUCUUUUAAAAAAAAAUCAAACCUUAAGGGGCAAGAAAACAUGUGAUUGAGUGUUUAUCAGUGUCUAUGGCUAGAGACUUUCUAAGCUUAUAAAGAAAGGAAAAAAUCACAAUAUAAAUGAUGGAUAGAUUUAGUAACAUAAAAAUGGUAAAAAUGAAACCAUAUGUUCCUUAAAGCUUACAACACAAAAUAGGUUAUCAACAAACUAAGGAAAAUAUUUCUAAUAUUUUAAUUGAUUACUGUCAUUAAUUAUUUAAUGUUCAAAGCCAAAACAAAAAUAACAGGCAAAGGAAAUGGUCAGCAUAUAAAGGACGAAUAAGUGGACAAUAACAUGAAAAAAAUCUGCCUCUCUAGUAUUUGAAGAAAUGCCAAAAUCAUGAAUCAUGUUGUUUUUACUUUUUAAAUCAGCACAUAUUAAAAAGAAUAAUACUUAAUGAGAUUAGACAAAUUUAUAUACUGACAAUUGGAUUUAAAUUAGUAAAACUACUCUAGGGUACAAUUUGCACCUAAUUUUUCACACCACAACAAUGCCAUCUACAUAUACGACACAUGUAUAGAUGUAACUAUGAGGAUAUUCAUUAGUAUGCUAUUUAUACCAGCAAGAUAUUGGAAGCAACUUGAAUACUUAAAUGCCCUGAAGUAGAUAAAUGGUUAACCAAAUUGUGGUCUAUUUAUGUAAAAAAAAAAAGAAGAAGAGUAUAUGCCAUUAGAGAUCAUAUUUGUGGGCUGGGGAUGUGGCUCAAGCGGUAACGCACUCGCCUGGCGUGCCUGGGGCGCUGGGUUUGAUCCUCAGCACCACAUAAAAAUAAAAUAAAGAUGUUGUAUCCACCGAAAACUAAAAAGUAAAUAUUAAAAAAUUAUCUCUCUCUCUUUAAAAAAGAGAUCAUAUUUGUAAUAUAAUAAUCUAGAAGUUUAAUGACAUAUAAAAUUUCUGUGCUAAAAUAUUUAAUGAAAAAGUAGAAUGCCAAUUUGUAUAAAUAGUUUGAGUUCAAGCUUUUUUAAAGACUGUAUUCUGGUAACAGUGAGGAGAAAGAAUCUGGUCAACUGAUAGAGAAAGGUCCUCUAUCAAGAGAUUAGGCCCAAGCCUAAUUUGGUUACCAUAGGCCACUCAUUUCUAGUGAGGUGAGAAACUUUAAUCCAAUUUAGGAUCCCUAAAAUCACAGAGAAAACCAUAAACAGUUUUGAACACAGGGAGGGCGAAUGUAAGUUCACACGAUGAUUUCAAUAUAACUGUCUAAAAUAAGUUAUUUUUCUCUCACUACUGUUUUGGGAUACAAAUAGCUACUUUAGUGAACAUUUCUGGAAGCAAUAACUUUCCUUGGUUUCCUUAGCCUAAGCUGCAUAGACCCAGACCUUCAUUUGCUAUGUUUGCUGGAAACAGUGCCUACACUGAAGGUUUCUUUUACUUUGUUUUCUAGACAACUAAUUUGCAUUAAGAUGGGAUAUUUUGAAAUAGUGAGGUAUGUACUGGGCAUACACUUGGUUUAAUGUUAUCCUACUGUGAGGGAUUAAUAUGUUUGAUUAGGGCAACAUUGAUACAACUGUUUUUGAAGCAGAAGGGAAACGGUCUCUCCUUAGACAACAAGAGACAGACACCUAACUUUGAGGGGAAUGAAUAAUGAAUGUGGUCCUUUUUUAUUGGAAUUUUUCAGUUCCAACUUGAUCUCAUGCAGUGUGCAAAGACACAGCCUUGUACUUUGGCAUACACUCCUUUUGUUAUAGGAUUAGUGACACACUCCCAGGUUACAUACUGUAGGUUUGAGUCUUCUAGACUAUCUCAUGUUAUGUAAUGUGCAGGCCUUAUCUGGGCUGUGCUUAUUCCUCAGUUCACUUGACAAAGUUUUAGGAAGAAGGAAAUUAAUGAUAUAGAUUUAGGGAUGGAUCUAAAACUUAGUGACAUUCAGUUAUUUCAUGGAUGAUGUGCUUUGUACAUAGUUGCUGAAUAAAUGAUUGCAUGAGUGAAUUCUAGAGCAAUACAAUAAUGGGAUUAAUCCAUUCACUUCAAAACUCAGUUGGGAAGAUUUUUGAGAUGAAUGCCAAAUCAAUUUAUGCUCAGGAAAGUCAUAAAGCAUAAAGCUUCUUCUCUUAUGACAGCAGGGAAAGCCUUGGCAUCACUUUGUGCUGGUUAACCUGAUAUUCAUAAGGUGCUGAACCAUAGUUAAGAUGAGCCAUGUAUUUUAUAUUCCCUUUGGAUGAAAGAUUUGAAUAUUGGUUUUGGCCAUCUUUGCUCCAUAGGAUGCACAUUUUCAUAUACCUAUAUCCUUCUUUUCAACUUCAUUCUUUGAUCAGAUCAAUCUCCACAGUAUCAGAAUCUGUUCACCUUCACCUGGGGCAUUUCAGAGACAAGUCUUUGAUGACCAAAGAGAAUCUGUUAGGGUGUUCUUACCAAACUAUGGUGGAGUUUUCCUCUAUCUCAUUGCAGUGUCCCCAACAAGUACAUACAAACAAGUUCCAUGCACUCCCAUCUCUUUCCCUUUGAUUUCCAAAAUUAUAAGAGGCAGAUUGGGAGGAGAUGCCACUACUUGUUAACAACUCCCCACCCAGUAUCAUUUCAGGUAAAUACAUGUGUUUUAACCCACUCACUUUUGGGAUGAAAGGCCUCUAUUUUUGUCAUCGAAAGUACAGUAGCAUCAAUAGUGUUAUAAGAUGAAGACUAGUUAGAAAAGUGAAUUUGGCUUAUACUGGAGUUUAUGGAGCUCUCAAAUUAUAUCACAUGGGCAGCUACCUCCUACACCUGUUUCCAAAAGAGAAAUGCUAUCACUCUCACAAUCAUUGUUUGUCACCUCUGACAACAAUAAUAUCUAACAUAUGUUCUCAUUAUUAUGAUGACUACUUAUGAGGGCCCUUAGUAUUUAAUACCAUAAAUGUAAAAGUCAUAUUUCAAACAGUUCAUUCAGUGAUAUUUCAGUCUCUCAUUCAAGACGACUCCAAGCAUGAAAAGUUAUCAUCGUUAGAUUGCUAGUUACCAUUAGAACGUGGACAGAUAGGGGAAAAGAAAGUUUAUGUAUAUCUAAAAGCAACAAAGCAUGUGUACACUUUAUGAUAGCCUCUAAAUUCUACAUGUCUUGAUUUUAUACAAGUCUAAAGUAUAAAUAUAUAUUUUGCAACUAAAUUAAUUUUAACAUAAACACAGAAUUGGAAACACAUCAAAAGAUCUAGAUAGCAAUUUCUGACAUUGUUUCCCCCAUAGAAAAAGGUUGUAGGUUAACAUUUUGAAAAUGUAAGUGGUGACCUUUACAGAAUUGCUUCUUCAUAUAAUUAUCUCAUUAACAUAGGGACCUAUUAGGUACCCAAAAUGAAGGGGGAGAAAAUCUAAAAUAAUUUUUCAUGUGUACCAAAAUCUGGAUGUUUCAGUGAUCUUUUUGGUGUGACUGAAAGACGUGCCUAGAACAAUAGUAGAGGAGGAAAAGUUUAUCUGGGGACUGGUGGUUUUAGAGGUCUCAGUCCACAGAUAGCUGGCUCUGUUCCUCAGGGCUCAAAGUGAGGCAGAACAACAUGGCAGAAGGGUAUGACAGAGGAAAGCAGCUCAUAUGAUGUUCAGAAAGCAGAGAAAGGCUCCACUCACCAGAUACCAAAUGUAUACCCCAAAGGCCAUGCCCCAGGGACCCACCUCCUCUAGCUAUACCCUACCUGCCUUCAGUUUCCACUCAGUAAAUCCCAUCAGGGGCUUAAUGUAUAGAUUAGGUUAGGACUCAAUCAUUUCUCCUCUAAAACUUGCAUUGUCUCACACAUGAGCUUUUGGGGACACCACAUAUCCAACCAUAACACUGGAUUGGGGUCCUGAACCAAAGUUUAGCCUGUCUUCCAAAAGCUUCAGUGUCCUUUCUUCAGUGUGCUUUCACUCCAAAGUUCAUUUUCUCACACCAAAUGCUACUGAUAAUUUGCAAGUUGAUGUGAAUUCUCACAUCCUAUCAUAUAAUGCUGUGGGGCUAAGUUUUUAGAGGUGGUACUCAUGUUGGAUCCAUUGAGUGGUAAGCAAUGGAAUGGAUAUUUAUGGCACCAAGGCACAAGCCUUUUCUCAAGCUGGCACAAAACUGUAAGCAUGCUAGAUCUGAUGGCUUUAACACUGAACUCUUAAAUGUUAGCGAUGCAAUGGGAACCAUUGUAUUGUUAUCUCAUUUUGAAGUAUUUUCUAAGAAGCCCCAAACCAAUGUGUAUGCAAACCAGUGACUUCUAAGUAAUAAAUCCUUUAUCCAGGAAUGGUAUCUUCACAUUUUUAGCUGAAUUGUGAAACAUAUCACAAACUAAAUAAUAGAUUUUUUUCAAUGAUAUCAUCAAAAGGAUAUCCCAAUAAUCCAUCAUUCAGAUAUAUCUCUGAGUGGAGAAAAUGACUUUUGUUUUCUCACCUCUCUGAGAUAUAGUUGCAUUAUGAAGCUCUGGGUGGGCUUUAAGCUUAUGGAUAGUUGGCUCAAUGUAUUCACAAGGAGCAUUAAUGAGGUGAGGAUCAUGGGGGCCAGUUAGGUUUACUCUGGGUAUUGAUCAAAAACUCCAGGAAUCAGUCAAGAGGUGCUAGCACAGAUGAGAAAGGCACUAUGGCCAACCCUCAGCACUUUUCAGUCCUUCCUUCCCAUGUAACAGGCAGGAUAUAUUGGUUGGGUAUCACCAUCUCAGGGAAGAAAUGAGUAGCAGCUUGGGAGGCCCCAACAUGUACUUCUGGACAAAGCUGACCUGACAUUUAGGUAUUAACUUUGCAUUAUAAUCCCCCAUCACACCAUUGAUUUGCUGUGUAACCUCCAUCACUAAAGCAGAGAUAAUAGGAUAGAAUGAAAUGGGCUUACCUCCCGGGGAUGUUGUGUGAAUUAGCAAAUUAACGAGUGGAAAGUGUUAGCAUUUAUGUAAGUGUUGGUGCUUGUCAUUAUUUCUAGGGACCCAGUCUCAUUCUAAAUGGAGAAUCUAAGUAUAUUAUGCUUUUGUCAAAAAGGGAUUUUCACCCACAUCAAUUGCAUUUAAGCUGAGCAUAAAACAGAGGUGAUAAUAACAUAGCAGUGAUCAUCACAAAGCAGAGCUGUAAACCUUUUUUUCUAUUAAAAUGAAAACUAUUUUCAGCAACUUUCAAUGCUUUUAAACUUUGCUUUCCAAGCUUUGUGCCAACAGUCAUCUUUACAGUGAUUAUUCUUCCUGUGAUGGGUAAGAGGAAUGGGAUCUAUUCUAGGUCCCAUUCAUUAUUCAUUCCCAUAAUGACUAUAUAAUGUAUUGAAUUUGUUUACAUCAUACAAUCAGGCCAACUCGGUAGCCGGUUUGAUUGCCACAUAUUGCAAUCACUGUGAAAAAUAAAAACUCUUUUCUGCUCUGCCCACGCUGGUGUCCUCUAGAGGUAGCCAACAUACAAAUUGAAAACUCAUAGGGAAUUGAAGUGCUUUCCAACAAAAGGCACUGUACAUAGAUCCUUUCAAUUUAACAUUUUUACCAAGGAAUUUUGUUGUCGCCUGCUAUUUCCAAGGGGACUGUGCUUGAGAGAAUUCUUCCAUUUCUUUUAUCACUCUGACUUUGCUUACCAAGAAAAGUCAUUUAUUGCUGAUUGUAGAACUCUUGAACUCAGCCUGGCAGCUGCAGCAUGAACUCCUCAGAUCUGGGCUCCUUGUUGCCUAUUUACAUAUUCGUUUGAAGUGAUUUUUCAGUACUGUUUGAAAACCUCUCUCAACCCGGUAUCAUGUAAUAGCCAAGAUCUAAGGCUCACCAUGUUUUUGGUUCUUUUUCUCUUUGUCUUACAGAUAACAGACGGGUACCUUUGGAAAGGUCACGCUCUCGCCACAAUGGAGCUAUCUCAUCUAAGUGAUUCCUGAUGCCAAAGAAUAUGAAAAAUAUUUAAGUAAACAAAAUCAUAUGUUUUCAGAAGAACAAAACAUGCAUUCAAGGGUCAGAGUGGAUAUAAGUGUAUUUCUGCAAAGGUCAAGCUAAACUGGAUGAAUUGAUGUGCAUUUGUAGAACUAUCACUAGACUCCUCCCACAAUACCUAUGUGACAGCUCACAGGACUAGAAAUAUUUGUUCCACUUUAGCGUAAAAAUGUCUGUUCUUUGUUGUUGUGUGACCUGACUCUGAAGAGGGAAUUGUAAAAAAUUGAAGAGUUUUGAGACUUUCAAAUAUUUAAAAUCCUAAAUUUCUAGGUCACUCCCACUAAAAGAAAAAGAAGAAGAAAAAAAGAAUAGACAGAUCUAUUCACUGUCUGCUUCCAAUUUAAUAGAUAGCAAAGGAAAAGGCCAAGACAAAAUGUGCAUGCUAAUGAUUUGGAAAGGUGCUAAUAUUGCACACAGUGUAAGAGAAGCCAUUUUGAAAACUCAAAAAAGUAUAGCUCCAUGUCAGUCAAGUUAUUUAGAAUCUUAUCUCAAGUGAAAGCUGAUGGAUUCAUCUGCUUUGGCUGAAAUUAAAUUUAUCAUUAGUCUAGCGUUUCAGCAUGAUAUUGCAAGCACACAUCAUUGCUAAAAAUAAACCAAAGUUUAACAGAAUCAGUUAGGGAAAAUGACUUCAACUUUAUUUAAAGAGGUAUUUUCUAAUAUGCAUAGAUGUCUACUUUAUACAAAUACUUUAUAUGACUAUUUUUUGAGAAAAACUCCACAUUUUAAUGUUUGUGCUAGGGAUGUACCUGAAAGUUCUAUUAUCUUUAUUUAGAUUUUAAAGGCAAAUAUUGAUUCUUAUUUGUGGUUUAUUUCUUCUCUCUAUUGCUUCUUUCUCCCUUGACCCCCUUGAAGGCAGGGAAUGGAGUUCUAGAAGACCUGGGAGGAAAGAGAUUUCUUUCUAUAAAAGGCAGCAGAAAACUGUGUGAAAGGUCAACUGUUCUAUCUUCCUUUCUACUCCCCUUUCCAAUUCUGUUUUGGUGGUCUGAAGAAGAAAAAAAGAAAUUCUAUAUAUGUAUAUGUAUAUACAUGUGUGUAUAUAUUUGUAUCUCUUGCUGCAGUAAUUGCACAUCCCAGUAACUAAGUGAACUUCUCAGUCAUCAUCAUACUUACCUUAUAUUAACAAAUUUAAACGUUGCUGCCACAACAACUCUGGGGAAAAAAACAAGGUCUAUGUUUUUCUCAAAUAGAUGAAAGUUAAAGUUAUACUUAACUUAUCUGUUAUUUUAUGAUAUGCAUUGAAAUAAUUGGUGUAACUUCUCUGGAGUGCAAUUUGAAGACCAAUUCAUGCAGAUGAUUGUGAUUACUGUAAAAGAGUUAUUAUAUGUAUAUUUCUUAUGUAGAAAGUCCUAUUUCUAUUCCUCCACUGCACAUGAUAGAGAAAGAACAAAUGACUGGCUUGGCAAGUCACCAUCUGAGAUAAGUGACCAGUAGCUCACAGAAUUCUUUAUAUAGAUGUAUAAUAAUUUACAUGGUUGCCUUGUCCUCCAGUGCAUUCUGGCUUGAGUAUUAUACUUCAAAAUUCUCUGAAAGCUGCUAUAAUAGAGAAAUCAAAGUCACAACAUCUGAGAUUUUUUCCACGUUUUCCUGACUGAAAACACACAUGUGCACACAUAAACAUGUUUGAGGACACAUCUGUUUUCACACACUAUUUUUAACAACAGCAAAAGUUUAGGUCCUACUAAUUUAGGUAAAUAACUAAUGUGUGCAUUUUUGACUUUGCAAAGAUUUUUUUCUGAAAUCUUCAUGGUAUCACUUCUUUGAGUCUUUUGACUAUAGAAAAAAUUAUUUUGAAGUGUCAACCUUGACUAAAUUUUGGAGACAUUUGCCAUGCCAUAUUAUCAAAUUUGUCAAGGUAGAAAUAGUGAUGUGUAUUGCCUUUUCCAGAUGCAAACUUGCCUUAUUUUCUAGUUUGUGAACAAGAAUGAAUGAAGUGCUAUUCUUGAUAAGUUAUAUAUUUGUAUUUACAGCAAUCCACAUGCUUUCACAAACAUUAAAAAAAACCUUUCAGGGUCCAAUAAUUAAGUUAAAAGAUUUACUUAUCAGGUUUAUAAUGGUCCUGUUUUAGCCACUUGCAUUUUUUAUUUAGAUUGAAAAGUACAUAGUGACAUUUUAGUAUAAAACCAAAUUAUACUAAAAUCUUUUGUUUCUUACUACCACACAGGAGAAGCACCAAUUAUACAGAUUUUUUUCAGAAUCUUAAAAAAAUAGAAAACACAUAAAAUGUUAACUAAUUAUAUUUGUUUCCUUUGGCUACUAUAAUAAAUGACCACAAAUUUGGUGGCUUAAAACAACAGAAAUUGAUUCUCUCAUUGUUCUGAAAUCUAGGGGUUCACAGGGUCAUGCUCCCUCCAGAGGUUCUAGAGAAUCCUUUCUUGUCUCUUCCAGCUUCUGAUGGCUAUUGACGUUCCUUGGCUCAUGGCCACAUUUCCACUCAUCUUUGCAGCACCUUUUGUCUGUGUACCUAAUCUCCCUCUGCCAGGAUAAUCUCUUCAUCUCAAGAACUUUAAGUUAAUUACAUCUCUAAAACCCCUUUUCCAAAUAAGGGAACAUCUAGAGGUUCUGCCCUCUGUCCCCCACCCAAAAUUGAUGUCUUUCUCAUGUGUAAAAUAUAUUCACCCUAUUCCAACAUUCCUAAGUCUCAGCUGAUUACAGUUUCAACUCUAAAUAAUUACAAAUGUUCCUAUUCCAGAAGGAGAUAAUGGAAAAGGGAGUCAGUCACCUGUCUUAAUCAUUUUCAAAAACUAACUAAAUUCCCUUUAGGAUUCAAGGCCUAGCAACAGUCCUCUCUGUCUCAGUGCCCCACCCUUUGGGUCUGAAGUUCUCCCCUCUUGGACCAUGAACUGGGCCUCUGCCUCUGUGCCCAUGGGUCACAAUUCUGACUCUCCCCUCAUUCUUGGCCCUCCAACUUUGCACUUGCAGCUUUUCCCUUGGUGCCAUCCUCCUUUUAUCUUGAAAAUUGGCACAUGUUUGUAGCUGAAUAGUUUAUAUUUUCCUGUUUUUCUGCCUGUAGAAUAUUGUUAGUCUGACAGCCUUCUCUAAUUUUGUCCUGUCUCUGCCCCUUGCAGGCCAAGCAAAGACGUUUCUGCUGAUAUAGCAUUCUCAAAAACUUGGUAGAGCUCCCAUAUAUCAUGUUGAUUCACACAAUUAGAAAAGAGGGCCCUAUUACAUAUCUUUCCUGGAUAACUUUCUCUCUAUUCCUGGUUUCUGCUGAGAUGGUUGAGUAAAUCCAUGACUCAAUGCCUGAUCUCUUUAGCACUAGGCAAAGAAUAUCCAGCCACAUCCUUAGCCUUGGCCCUAUCUUCAGAGUACACUUUCCUAAUAUUGAAUCUCCUAACUUUAGCCUCUUUUACAUUCUGAAUAGGCUUGGAAUCUCUUAACUCAUCAAGUACUGGUUCUUUUCCCACUUAACAGUCUUUCCUCCAUUUUUCUUCCCUAUUUUACUCUAGGCAGAGAAGAAACUAUGCCAUACCUCUAAUGCUUCAAUUACAACUCUCCUCAACCAAAUAUCCUAGUUUGUCACAUGUUCCCCUUGCCACACAACUUUAGGUGGCAAUUCAUAUAGGCUUUUUGCCAAUAUAGAACGAGCAUUGCCUUGCUUACAAUAUCCAAUAAAAUGAUCUUCAUUUCAUUGCAGGCCCUCACCAAAAAUGCCUUUUAACACUCAUAUUUCCAUCAAUGGUCCAGUCUAUGCUUUUUCUAUCACAUGCAUCAAAAUUCUUCCAGUCUAUGCCCAUUAUUCAAUUUCAAGGCCACUUUCACAUUUUAAGAUAUUUGUUACAGCAAUAGCCCAUUUGCCUGUACUGAUACCUGUAUUAGAUUUUUGUGGCUGCUAUAACAAAUUACCCCAAACAUAGUGGUUUAAAAUAGUAUUCUCUUCCUGUUUUAGAGGCCAAUGUCCAAAAUUGAGUUAUGUUCACUGUGGGAGAAAUAUGUUCCUUGCAUCUUCUCAUUUUUUGUGUCUGUUAUCAUUCCUUGGCUGCAUCUCUUUCUGCUCUUUCUCCACAUCAUCUUCCCUUUAGUGCAUCUAAUCUACCUCUGCCUCUCUUGUAUUAGGACAUUUAUAAUGGAAUUUGGGGCCAUUCAGAUUACCCAUGAUAAUCUUAUCUCUAAAUCCUUAAUUUAAUCAUAUCAUCCAAAUUUAAUUACAUUUUCCAAACAAGCUAAUUCACAGAUUAUAGGGAUUAGGAUGUGAACAUAUCCUCCUUUUUUGGAGGGGGCACCAUUCAGCCACUACAUUAGUCACUUACACUUUUAAAAAUAUAUCUUUGGUGCUUGAGACAAAUUUAAGGUUUUCUCUAAAAGCUAUUAUCUGUACAGGCUACUGCAUGCUUUGUUAAGUGGACAAAGUGGUUAUUCUAAACUUUGGUUGAUACUUUAGCUAAUAUGGCCAAUUAGCUUGAAAAAAAUGGAUCUCAACUCUGCGCUUGAGUGUAUCUCUUCUGCCCCUUUUUUAAGAAGUCUUUGACCAAAUGUCUUCUAUGAUUCAUAAUGCAGACACAAAACUACCUCUGAUACAGAAGAGUUCCUUACACGCUUAUUUUAGAUAUUGUGAAUCCCUCAGCUGAUGGGAGAGGUGAAAGCAAAGACAACAUUAAAUGAGUAUUGAGGGAGAUUGUGUCCAUACCAAGCCACCAUGAAGAACCAUUUCAGUAGCAGUAAACUGUGCAUUUGUGCUCUCAUUUUGCCUCAGAAUAAAUGUCUGUAUCUAUGCAGGGCCAUGAAUGACUUGCAAUCUUUAUGUAAUGCCUACUUUACUUAUUCAAUAAAGUUAAGAUAAACAUUAAAUGUUGUGUUGCCUAUGAUAAUUUAAUUAAGGCUGAAUGAAAAGACAUGAGCUCUGGAGUGUCAAGAAAGAUGUAAUAACAUUCUGUGAGAAUCUAUGACUGAACAGAAGUCCAAGAGUUGUUUUUAUAAG